ACGGGUGAGUAAUGUCUGGGAAACUGCCCGAUAGAGGGGGAUAACUACUGGAAACGGUGGCUAAUACCGCAUAAUGUCUACGGACCAAAGCAGGGGCUCUUCGGACCUUGCACUAUCGGAUGAACCCAUAUGGGAUUAGCUAGUAGGUGGGGUAAAGGCUCACCUAGGCGACGAUCUCUAGCUGGUCUGAGAGGAUGAUCAGCCACACUGGGACUGAGACACGGCCCAGACUCCUACGGGAGGCAGCAUG
rnacentral:rRNA from 1 species